rnacentral:lncRNA from 1 species
UUCUCCCAAACACAUACUGCCAGAACACAUUAGUAAUCACCAUCAUUGCCCCAGAUAUCACAGCAGGAGGAGCGCCUGAUGUCCUCAUCACCCCAAAGUUUAAGAUUUAUCCUCAUUAAUCUGGUUGGAAGCACCUGGCCCUGCUCAUAAACAAUGUGGAGUUUGAUGAUGACAACAUGCUGAGGAGAGUGGUGGAGAAGGACUAGGUGAACAUGGACACACAGGAACCUGUCUGGCCAGGUCAUGCAUCGCUUUGAACAAGAUCCCAAACCAGAUGUCAACCACUCUAACAAAGGACUUCCCGGGCCUCUGAGAAUCAAAAACAGAUAUCAACCACUCUAACAAAGGACUUCCCAGGCCUCUGAGAAUCCCAAACCAGAUGUCAACCACUCUAACAAAGGACUUCCCGGGCCUCUGAGAAUCCCAAACCAGAUGUCAACCACUCUAACAAAGGACUUCCCGGGCCUCUGAGAAUCCCAAACCAGAUGUCAACCACUCUAACAAAGGACUUCCCAGGCCUCUGAGAAUCCCAAACCAGAUGCCAACAACUCUAACAAAGGACUUCCCAGGCCUCUGAGAAUCCCAAACCAGAUGUCAACCACUCUAACAAAGGACUUCCCGGGCCUCUGAGAAUCUGUGAUAAUUGAUGAAUUGUACUGUAUUCACAAAGGAGGAAUAAAGGAGGAAC